UACGUAGGGACCAAGCGUUGUUCGGAUUUACUGGGCGUAAAGGGCGCGUAGGCGGCAAUUCAAGUCAUCUGUGAAAUCUCCGGGCUUAACCCGGAACGGUCAGAUGAUACUGCUUUGCUAGAGUGCGGAAGGGGCAAUCGGAAUUCUUGGUGUAGCGGUGAAAUGCAUAGAUAUCGUCAAGAACACCGAUAGCGAAGGCAGCUUACUGGGCUGUAACUGACGCUGAUGCACGAAAGUGUGGGGAUCAAACAGG
rnacentral:rRNA from 1 species